rnacentral:rRNA from 1 species
AUUGAACGCUGGCGGCAUGCCUUACACAUGCAAGUCGAACGGUAACGGGCCUUCGGGUGCCGACGAGUGGCGAACGGGUGAGUAAUACAUCGGAACGUGCCCGAUCGUGGGGGAUAACGAGGCGAAAGCUUUGCUAAUACCGCAUACGAUCUACGGAUGAAAGCAGGGGACCGCAAGGCCUUGCGCGGACGGAGCGGCCGAUGGCAGAUUAGGUAGUUGGUGGGAUAAAAGCUUACCAAGCCGACGAUCUGUAGCUGGUCUGAGAGGAUGAUCAGCCACACUGGGACUGAGACACGGCCCAGACUCCUACGGGAGGCAGCAGGGGGGAAUUUUGGAAAAGGGGCGCAAGCCUGAUCCAGCCAGGCCGCGUGAAGGAUGAAGGCCUUCGGGUUGUAAACUUCUUUUGUACGGAACGAAAAGCCUUCUUUUAAAACAGGGGGGUAAUGACGGUACCGAAAGAAAAAGCCCCGGCUAACUACGU